AGAAGCAGAUGAUGUCGUGGCAGGAAUGAUCCUAAAGCAAAAUCAACACCCACAGCUGAAGCAGCAGCAGCAGCAAAUGUCAGUUUCUCCACUGAGGGUCUGAACUUUUGCUCUGUGCUCUGACAGGAACUGCAGGUUCACCUGUGUGAACAGAACUGCCUCAGUCUUUAUAUCCACUAACUGUGUCCUGUGGAGGACAAAACCCACACUUCUACUCUGAUGGCACCCUUUUUUGUUUUUAAAUCCUUUGCCAUAGAAGAUACUGUACCAGUCAAAAAUUGCAUUAUGUCUGAUUGAAACUAAUUUCAUAAUGAUAUCUAUAUAAACUGUAAACUUGUGUUUACAGUGUAUAUUUACAAAAAAUAUAGUUUUUAUAAGCACACCAUUUACAUUGUUGGUAGUAAAGGAGCAGAAAAUGGCGAAACACCCUCAGAUAAGCAAAGAAAAAAGAGAAUCCAUAAUGGCACUAAGAAACAAAGGUCUGUCUUUAAAGAAAAUAGCAAAUGCACUAGAGGUUUCUGUAAGUGCCGUGGCUAAGACUAUCAAACGUGUAGAAGAAACUGGUACUCUUGAAGACAGAGUAAGGUCAGGUAGGCCAAAGGUCACCUCAGAAUCAGAAAACCACUUUAUUCAACUAGCAUGUAAACAAAAUGAGGAUGUAACUGCUGCUCAAAUACAAGCACAGCUAAAUGCUAAUAGAAAAACUGAUGUUUCGGUAUCAACAAUUCAGAGAAGAUUGUGGGAAGCUGGCUUAGCUAAAGGACAGAAACGAAAAAAGGCUUCUUCAGACCAAAACAACACACAAGCUACAAAGCUAAGGGGUGGAAGUGUUCAGUCUUAAAGAAUGGAUUCCCCAAAUACACUAAGAGUCACAUUUAGACACACCUAAUGGAGUGUUUUUUUUAUUUAUUCACAAAAAUAUUAAAGAGAUAUGAAUCCAAAAGACAUUGGGCAGGUUUCCCAGGUUGGGAAUAAGUCCAGUGGUGGACUACAUUUGCAUAGCAAUGGAGAAUUUCUAUUCAAAAUGCUGUCUAAUUUUCAGUUAUCAGGGGUAUUUCUUAGUUUUGAUGCUUUCUAAUACAAAUAGUAGAAAGCCUUUUUGAGUAGGUGUAUCCUAAAGUUUGACCUGUACGGCAUAAGCAUUUAAGCUAAAUAAUGCAAAGCAAUCCAUGAAGAUUCAGCAACGUAUAUCAGUUUUUUGAUCUGUUUUAUGACAAAAUGAAAUGUAUAUUAUGAUGCGUUUUCAUUUGCCAAAAUUGAUACUUUUGAAAACUUGUUUUACCUCUACUUUUGACUGGUACUGUACUUAAAAGUUCCAUAAACUACAAAGUUUGUACUUGAGCACUUGGGCCAGGCUGCGGCAGAACCUUUCUUUGGAACUACAUUUGAUAUCAAAGGCAUUUUAAGAUCUUAAUUUGAUCUUAAAAUGUCCACCUCCCCACAGGUUUGGAAAGAACAAGAGCGAAUUCUACUUCUACUGCCUCCUACAAUAUUUAUUAUCCAAGUUUCCAGGUCUCUGGAGUGCUAUAUUAAGCCUGGUACCAGCACCUUGAUUCCUAAAAAAAAACUGUAAUGAAAACAGAUUCUCAUGCUCAUCUCCAGCCAGUCCAGUCUUCUCCUGCCACCUGUUUCUUCCCCUUCCUUUUGUACAAAUGUGGCCUGGAAAAAAAGGCUACAGUAGACAGAGAAGUAUUAAACAGCUGCUUCAUGGAUUUGCAGAAGAAGCAGACCAGGAGUUCUGGGACAGUAUAUAUAUAUAAAUCAACAGAACCAGAUGGACAUAAAUGAUGGAAUGUGUGUGUGUAUUAAAAACUCCUGAUAGUAUAGAGCAGAGAAAAUACAGACUUGAAUUCAGAAUAAAAAAACGAGACUUUGUGUUUUUCAUGUAUAUUACUUGGUAAAAGUAUUGUUUUGGUUUUGAUGUAAAACAUCCAAUUACACAAGUUCAAAAAUUGAGUCAUUUAAGUAUUUUUUGCUAAUGUUUAAUGUCAGCUGUUAGUGUACCACUAAUAAAUGUUUUUGUUCCGA